rnacentral:rRNA from 1 species
GAUGAACGCUAGCGGCAGGCUUAACACAUGCAAGUCGAGGGGCAACACGGGUAGCAAUACCUGGUGGCGACCGGCGCAAGGGUGCGUAACGCGUGAGCAACAUACCCUAUACAGGGGGAUAAUCCAGGGAAACUUGGUCUAAUAUCCCAUAGGAUUUACAGAUGUCAUCAUCUAUAAAUUAAAGCUUCGGUGGUAUAGGAUUGGCUCGCGUGACAUUAGCUAGAUGGUGGGGUAACGGCCUACCAUGGCCAUGAUGUCUAGGGGUUCUGAGAGGAAGACCCCCCCACACUGGGACUGAGACACGGCCCAGACUCCUACGGGAGGCAGCAGUGAGGAAUAUUGGACAAUGGAUGGAAAUCUGAUCCAGCCAUGCCGCGUGCAGGAAGACGGCCCUAUGGGUUGUAAACUGCUUUUAUAUGGGAGCAAUAAGGUCUACGCGUAGACCGAUGAGAGUACCAUAUGAAUAAGCAUCGGCUAACUCCGUCG